AUACGUAGGUGGCAAGCGUUGUCCGGAUUUACUGGGCGUAAAGGAUGCGUAGGCGGAUAUUUAAGUGAGAUGUGAAAUUCCCGAGCUUAACUUGGGAGCUGCAUUUCAAACUGGAUAUCUAGAGUGCGGGAGAGGAGAAUGGAAUUCCUAGUGUAGCGGUGAAAUGCGUAGAGAUUAGGAAGAACACCAGUGGCGAAGGCGAUUCUCUGGACCGUAACUGACGCUGAGGCAUGAAAGCGUGGGUAGCAAACAGGAUUAGAUACCCUGGUAGUCCACGCCGUAAACGAUGAGUACUAGGUGUAGGAGGGUCCAACCUUCUGUGCCGCAGUUAACACAAUAAGUACUCCGCCUGGGAAGUACGAUCGCAAGAUUAAA
rnacentral:rRNA from 1 species